rnacentral:tRNA from 1 species
GCCGACGUGGUGGAAUUGGUAGACACGCCGUCUUGAGGGGGCGGUGGCGAAAGCCGUGGGAGUUCGAGUCUCCCCGCCGGCACCA